GAUGAACGCUAGCUACAGGCUUAACACAUGCAAGUCGAGGGACCGGCGCACGGGUGAGUCACACGUAUCCAACCUGCCCUUUACUCGGGUAUAGCCUUUCGAAAGAAAGAUUAAUACCCGAUGUAAAGGAUGGGGCUGCGUUCCAUUAGGUUGUUGGGGAGGUAACGGCUCACCAAGCCUUCGAUGGCUAGGGGUUCUGUGAGGAAGGUCCCCCACAUUGGAACUGAGACACGUUCCAAACGCCUACGGGAGGCAGCAGUGAGGAAUAUUGGUAAAUGGGCGUUAGCCUGAACCAGCCAAGUAGCGUGAAGGAUGAAGGCUUAUGGGUCGUAAACGUCGUUUAUAUAAGAAGAUGUAUUAUAUGAAUAAGGAUCGGCUAACUCCGUGCCAGCAGCCGCGGUAAUU
rnacentral:rRNA from 1 species